GAUUAGAUACCCUAUUAUUUUAAGCUAUAUAUUGGUAGUAAAUAUAAUUUAUGAAAUCAUAAAAUUUUGGCGGUAUUUUAAGCUUAUUAGAGGAAUUUGCCCUGUGAUGGAUACAACACCUGAAUCUUACUUAAUUUUGUUAUUCAAAUUCAGUUUGUAUACCACUAUAUUUAGAUAUAUUGAAUAGUUAUAUUUUAAAUUUUUUAUUCAAAAAAUAUAUUAAGUCAUGGUGCAACAAAUAAUUAUGAAUGAGGUGAAUUACAUUAAUUUUUAUGUUAUUUAUUUUUUGAAAAAAGAUUUUUAGGAUUUAAUAGUAAAAUAUUAAUAUUAUGAAUAUUUGAAUAGAGCUCUAAAAUAUGCACACAUCGCCCGUC
rnacentral:rRNA from 1 species